rnacentral:rRNA from 1 species
UACGAAGGACCCGAGCGUUAUCCGGAUUUAUUGGGUUUAAAGGGUGCGUAGGCGGACUAGUAAGUCAGUGGUGAAAGCCUGUUGCUUAACAACAGAACUGCCAUCGAUACUGCUAAUCUUGAGUACAUAUGAUGUGGGCGGAAUGUGCCAUGUAGCGGUGAAAUGCUUAGAUAUGGCACAGAACACCGAUUGUGAAGGCAGCUCACAAAACUGUUACUGACGCUGAGGCACGAAAGCGUGGGGAUCAAACAGG